rnacentral:rRNA from 1 species
GACGAACGCUGGCGGCGUGCCUAAUACAUGCAAGUAGGACGCACAGUUUAUACCGUAGCUUGCUACACCAUGGACUGUGAGUUGCGAACGGGUGAGUAACGCGUAGGUAACCUGCCUAUUAGAGGGGGAUAACUAUUGGAAACGAUAGCUAAUACCGCAUAACAGUAUGUAACACAUGUUAGAUGCUUGAAAGAUGCAAUUGCAUCGCUAGUAGAUGGAUCUGCGUUGUAUUAGCUAGUAGGUAGGGUAAAGGCCUACCUAGGCAACGAUACAUAGCCGACCUGAGAGGGUGAUCGGCCACACUGGGACUGAGACACGGCCCAGACUCCUACGGGAGGCAGCAGUAGGGAAUCUUCGGCAAUGGGGGGAACCCUGACCGAGCAACGCCGCGUGAGUGAAGAAGGUUUUCGGAUCGUAAAGCUCUGUUGUUAAGGAAGAACGAGUGUGAGAAUGGAAAGUUCAUGCUGUGACGGUACUUAACCAGAAAGGGACGGCUAACUACGUGCCAGCAGCCGCGGUAAUACGUAGGUCCCGAGCGUUGUCCGGAUUUAUUGGGCGUAAAGCGAGCGCAGGCGGUUAGAAAAGUCUGAAGUGAAAGGCAGUGGCUCAACCAUUGUAGGCUUUGGAAACUGUUUAACUUGAGUGCAGAAGGGGAGAGUGGAAUUCCAUGUGUAGCGGUGAAAUGCGUAGAUAUAUGGAGGAACACCGGUGGCGAAAGCGGCUCUCUGGUCUGUAACUGACGCUGAGGCUCGAAAGCGUGGGGAGCGAACAGG